UGGGGAAUAUUGCACAAUGGGGGAAACCCUGAUGCAGCGACGCCGCGUGAGCGAAGAAGGUUUUCGAAUCGUAAAGCUCUGUCCUAUGGGAAGAUAAUGACGGUACCAUAGGAGGAAGCCCCGGCUAACCACGUGCCAGCACCCGCGGUAAUACGUAGGGGGCAAGCGUUGUCCGGAAUCACUGGGCGUAAAGGGUUCGCAGGCGGAAAUGCAAGUCAGUUGUGAAAGGCAGAGGCUCAACCUCUGUAAGCAACUGAAACUGUAUUUCUUUGGAUGUGGAGAGGCAAGUGGAAUUCCUAGUGUAGCGGUGAAAUGCGUAUAUAUUUGGAAGAAUACCGGUGUCGAAGUGGACUUGCUGGACACAAACUGUCGCUGCGGAACGAAAGCGUGGGUAGCACACAGG
rnacentral:rRNA from 1 species